rnacentral:tRNA from 1 species
UGGGAUAUCGCCAAGCGGUAAGGCACUAGACUUUGACUCUAGUAUUCGUAGGUUCAAAUCCUGCUAUCCCAGCCA